CAUGUUGGCCAGGCUGGUCUUGAACUCCUGAGAUACCCCUGCCUCAGCCUCCCAAAGUGCUGGAAUUACAGGUCUGAGCCACCAUGCCCGGCCUCUCCUUUACUCUUCAUGGCAACUGUUAUCUUUCUUUUUACAGAUGAGAAAAGGGAGGUCAGUCCCAUUUUGGUAAGCCUCUCACCCUCUGGACUCCAUAUCUCCUGCUAAUCGCACUCCUUGGAUGAGACAGUGACAUGGAAGUGCCUCCCAGCUCAGCCCUGGGGAGACCUCUCCAAGGUCACUGAAGGAAGCUGGGGGCAUGCCCCUACCCUUCUUUCUGGAGCAGAGCCCUGGGACCUUCUGGAGUCCCAGUCAGGCUGGGGUCUACAAGGGUUAAGACUCCAAGUGACUUCUCUGUCUGCCCCUCAUGCAGAUAAAAGUUUCCAUUCAAGGAAGAGCUGCCUUAGGGCUGCCAAGUUAUCCUGAUUCUGUCAUUGUAGCAUCAAGGUGGGGGCCUUGGGCCUUCCCAGCCUCUUCAAGGGGACAUUCUUGGGUGGGAUGUGGCUCCUAACUGGUGUCACCACCUCAAAGGCCAAUAUCCCAAGACCCAGAAUUCCCACGUUGGACUCAGGGACUGGCGAGAUCACACUGACUCCUUCUGCCAGGGCCCUUUAAGAGCCGCCCAUCCCGCCCAUGAUGCUCCUGCUUAGUGAGUCAGACACUUGCAUUAGGCCCCAGGGGAGGAAGAGAAACAGGCCUCAGAAAGCACUUGGAAGGGCAGGGAAGGGCUGGGAAGAAACCUGGCUCAGAAGAUGGUGCCCUCCCCUCACAUAUUCCCAGACUGGAAGGGGCAUCUUACUUCUGAGCUCCCCACAGCCCCAGCCUCCUGGCUGUCUCUCCUGGCUGCUGAAAUAAAGGCCAAGCCCUUUUAUCACCUUUGUUAUGUGACCCUGCCUGCUGGUUGGGCCUCAUCUCUCGCCCCUAGUUCUUUGCUUUCAGGGCCACACCAGCCCUCUUGACUGUUCUUGAAUCCAUCAUGAUUCUUUCUACCCCAGGGACCUUGCACUAGCCAGCAUCUUGCUGCGCUUCCUCCCGUCUCAAUUGGCUAAUGUGGGAGAGGCAUUUUCUUUACACACCCAGAGAAAAUAGAGCCUGCUACCUUCCAAGACUGAGAGGGUUGGAAGAAACUUUUUGUAUUGUAGCUUGAGGGUGGGAAGGAGAAGACACAAUUUGAGCAUAAGAAGGUGAGCUGGAAGCUGGGCACGGUGGCUUAUGCCUGCAAUCCCAGUGUUAGGAAUGCUUGUUCUCCACUGCUGCAAAGAAAUAGCACUCAAACAUAAAUUUAAUUUUCUCAGCAAGCAAUUUUUAGUUUCUGUAGAAAGGGUGCUCCUCAUAGAUGGAACAAUGGUGAGAGCACAGUUGAACAAGGGAGGGGAAGGGGUUCUUAUUCCUGACCCAGGUAAUCCCUGCUGCUAUGUUGUUCCCCUGUUGGCUAAGGUUGGACCGCACGGUCUAAGCUAAUUCCGAUUGGCUAUUUUAAAGAGAGCAGAGGUAUGAGCCAGAGUGGCGAGGUGAGUAGUUUGGCAGGAAGGACAGUUAGGAACGGGUAACUAAAGGUGACUUACAUCAGAGCAGGUGACCAGGGGUGACUCAGGUCAAAGCAGGUGACUGGGAUGAGUCAGGAUGGAGCAAGUGACCAGGGGAACAGGUGUGAACUACUGAAUAAAACUGAUGGAAAAGGUUGUUUACUGAAAUUAGAAGCAAGGGGGCGAAGAGAACCAGGAAGUUAAACUUUAAAAUGGAGAAUCAAAGAAUAAGAGAGCUGAACAUACAGACAUACUGAUUCUUUGAAGAAAAACUUGGGGUUCACCAUAUUUAACAUGAGCACUUUGGGGGGUUGAGGCAGGUGGAUCACUGCAGGUCAGGAGUUCGAGACCAGCCUGGCCAACAUGGUGAAACCCCGUCUCUACUAAAAAUACAAAAACUAGCUAGGUGUGGUGGCGGGUGCCUGUAAUCCUAAAUACUUGAGAGGCUGAGGCAGGAGAAUUGCUUGAACCUGGGAAGUGGAGGUUGCAGUGAGCUGGGAUUGUGCCACUGCAUGCCAGCCUGGGUCACAGAGAGACUCCGUCUCAAAAAAAAAAAAAAAAAAAAAGGUGAGCUGGAAAUAAGCUCAGGCUCGUGAGCAGUUUAUCUUCUGGAAUAAAGUCGUUUGCCUUUUUAAAGGCUCUGUCUUCCUCCAUUUCUACCAGAAACCAGACCUCUGAGGGCCCCUUCCCCUCCCACCAUCCUCAGGAUCUGAAGCCCUGGUCCUCCCUCACUUUCUGUCCAGCACUGGAACCCCAAGGGACAGAGAGUGUGUGACAGCUCCUGCAGGAAGCUGGUCAGACAAGGAGAGUGCUGGGUUAAAGGGGAUAAAUUUGGAAGGUAUCCAGGGACCUGAUCAGGGAGGAUCGUGAGUCCCAAGGAGAGAAGUUUGGAUUUCUUCCUCCAGUCAUCAUGAAGCUUGGAGGGUUUGGGGGCAGCUGCCUUGGAAGGGCUGAAAAGAGGUGGACGGCACUGGUGAGACAAUCCCUUCCCCCCCCCUCUACCCGCCAGCCACAGAAGAAGGACUCCGCAGCUCUUGGAUACAGCACUUUAAUG
rnacentral:lncRNA from 1 species